rnacentral:rRNA from 2 species
GGUUAAGCGACUAAGCGUACACGGUGGAUGCCCUGGCAGUCAGAGGCGAUGAAGGGCGUGCUAAUCUGCGAUAAGCGCCGGUAAGGUGAUAUGAACCGUUAUAACCGGCGAUACCCGAAUGGGGAAACCCAGUGUGACUCGUCACACUAUCAUUAACUGAAUCCAUAGGUUAAUGAGGCGAACCGGGGGAACUGAAACAUCUAAGUACCCCGAGGAAAAGAAAUCAACCGAGAUUCCCCCAGUAGCGGCGAGCGAACGGGGAGGAGCCCAGAGCCUGAAUCAGCAUGUGUGUUAGUGGAAGCGUCUGGAAAGGCGCGCGAUACAGGGUGACAGCCCCGUACACAAAAGCGCAUGUGCUGUGAGCUCGAUGAGUAGGGCGGGACACGUGGUAUCCUGUCUGAAUAUGGGGGGACCAUCCUCCAAGGCUAAAUACUCCUGACUGACCGAUAGUGAACCAGUACCGUGAGGGAAAGGCGAAAAGAACCCCGGCGAGGGGAGUGAAAAAGAACCUGAAACCGUGUACGUACAAGCAGUGGGAGCACCCUUCGGGGUGUGACUGCGUACCUUUUGUAUAAUGGGUCAGCGACUUAUAUUCUGUAGCAAGGUUAACCGUAUAGGGGAGCCGGAGGGAAACCGAGUCUUAACCGGGCGUUAAGUUGCAGGGUAUAGACCCGAAACCCGGUGAUCUAGCCAUGGGCAGGUUGAAGGUUGGGUAACACUAACUGGAGGACCGAACCGACUAAUGUUGAAAAAUUAGCGGAUGACCUGUGGCUGGGGGUGAAAGGCCAAUCAAACCGGGAGAUAGCUGGUUCUCCCCGAAAGCUAUUUAGGUAGCGCCUCGUGAAUUCAUCUCCGGGGGUAGAGCACUGUUUCGGCUAGGGGGCCAUCCCGGCUUACCAACCCGAUGCAAACUGCGAAUACCGGAGAAUGUUAUCACGGGAGACACACGGCGGGUGCUAACGUCCGUCGUGAAGAGGGAAACAACCCAGACCGCCAGCUAAGGUCCCAAAGUCAUGGUUAAGUGGGAAACGAUGUGGGAAGGCCCAGACAGCCAGGAUGUUGGCUUAGAAGCAGCCAUCAUUUAAAGAAAGCGUAAUAGCUCACUGGUCGAGUCGGCCUGCGCGGAAGAUGUAACGGGGCUAAACCAUGCACCGAAGCUGCGGCAGCGAACGUAUCACCCAAGACAACUUUACGGAGUUGACGAUUGACGGAGCGAAGCGACGUCAAAGCGUUCAUUAAAGUCGAGUUGGCUUAGGGAUACGUUCGUUGGGUAGGGGAGCGUUCUGUAAGCCUGUGAAGGUGUGUCGUGAGGCAUGCUGGAGGUAUCAGAAGUGCGAAUGCUGACAUAAGUAACGAUAAAGCGGGUGAAAAGCCCGCUCGCCGGAAGACCAAGGGUUCCUGUCCAACGUUAAUCGGGGCAGGGUGAGUCGACCCCUAAGGCGAGGCCGAAAGGCGUAGUCGAUGGGAAACGGGUUAAUAUUCCCGUACUUGGUGUUACUGCGAAGGGGGGACGGAGAAGGCUAUGUUGGCCGGGCGACGGUUGUCCCGGUUUAAGCGUGUAGGUGUGUGUUCCAGGUAAAUCCGGUUCACUUUAACACUGAGGCGUGACGACGAGGCACUACGGUGCUGAAGCAACAAAUGCCCUGCUUCCAGGAAAAGCCUCUAAGCAUCAGGUAACAUCAAAUCGUACCCCAAACCGACACAGGUGGUCAGGUAGAGAAUACCAAGGCGCUUGAGAGAACUCGGGUGAAGGAACUAGGCAAAAUGGUGCCGUAACUUCGGGAGAAGGCACGCUGACACGUAGGUGAAGUGAUUUACUCAUGGAGCUGAAGUCAGUCGAAGAUACCAGCUGGCUGCAACUGUUUAUUAAAAACACAGCACUGUGCAAACACGAAAGUGGACGUAUACGGUGUGACGCCUGCCCGGUGCCGGAAGGUUAAUUGAUGGGGUCAGCGCAAGCGAAGCUCCUGAUCGAAGCCCCGGUAAACGGCGGCCGUAACUAUAACGGUCCUAAGGUAGCGAAAUUCCUUGUCGGGUAAGUUCCGACCUGCACGAAUGGCGUAAUGAUGGCCAGGCUGUCUCCACCCGAGACUCAGUGAAAUUGAACUCGCUGUGAAGAUGCAGUGUACCCGCGGCAAGACGGAAAGACCCCGUGAACCUUUACUAUAGCUUGACACUGAACAUUGAGCCUUGAUGUGUAGGAUAGGUGGGAGGCUUUGAAGUGUGGACGCCAGUCUGCAUGGAGCCGACCUUGAAAUACCACCCUUUAAUGUUUGAUGUUCUAACGUGGACCCGUAAUCCGGGUUGCGGACAGUGUCUGGUGGGUAGUUUGACUGGGGCGGUCUCCUCCUAAAGAGUAACGGAGGAGCACGAAGGUUGGCUAAUCCUGGUCGGACAUCAGGAGGUUAGUGCAAUGGCAUAAGCCAGCUUGACUGCGAGCGUGACGGCGCGAGCAGGUGCGAAAGCAGGUCAUAGUGAUCCGGUGGUUCUGAAUGGAAGGGCCAUCGCUCAACGGAUAAAAGGUACUCCGGGGAUAACAGGCUGAUACCGCCCAAGAGUUCAUAUCGACGGCGGUGUUUGGCACCUCGAUGUCGGCUCAUCACAUCCUGGGGCUGAAGUAGGUCCCAAGGGUAUGGCUGUUCGCCAUUUAAAGUGGUACGCGAGCUGGGUUUAGAACGUCGUGAGACAGUUCGGUCCCUAUCUGCCGUGGGCGCUGGAGAACUGAGGGGGGCUGCUCCUAGUACGAGAGGACCGGAGUGGACGCAUCACUGGUGUUCGGGUUGUCAUGCCAAUGGCACUGCCCGGUAGCUAAAUGCGGAAGAGAUAAGUGCUGAAAGCAUCUAAGCACGAAACUUGCCCCGAGAUGAGUUCUCCCUGAGACUUAGAGUCUCCUGAAGGAACGUUGAAGACGACGACGUUGAUAGGCCGGGUGUGUAAGCGCAGCGAUGCGUUGAGCUAACCGGUACUAAUGAACCGUGAGGCUUAACCUU